UGUGGGCAUUUAAGACUACCGGAGGUCUCUAAAGGGUAAUACUCAACAACCAAUACCCGCGCAGUCAGUAGUGAUUGAUAUAAAGCACGAGAGAUCUGCGUAUCUGUCCUUACUUCUUCAACAGUCACUCUACAGAUAAGAUAACUUAAGAUGCUGCGGUCAGAACAGUACCUUUGGAUCGUUCUGUUUGCCUUUUUGGCAGUUUGCUCUAUAUCACAGGCAAGAGGGAUACAGAAACGAAGUGAAGGAUCCAGCUUUACGAAUCAGGUUGCGACAAAAGAAGAACACGAGGCAACAGGUAGGAUGCUGCUGCGGCUGUUAGACGCCGCCAUCGAGGGUCUGCGAGAGCAAGGAGAUGAUGGGAACGCUGUAACAAACCUCGUCAAAAAGAGGGAUUACGUACGAGAUUGCUUCUUCCACGCUGUCAGUUGCUACGGGCGGAAGUAGAUGAACAUCAGCGCCGUCUGGUGUGAGAAGGUGAUAGCAGUGCCAUCUAGCGAAAGAAAGAGGAGGUGUCCGAUGUCAGUGCCAUCAGUGGAAUAUUUGUAAAAUAAUUGUAACUUUUUAGUUCAUGUUUAUUUGCGUACGUAAAAGGAAUAACUUUGAAAAGAAAAGCGCACUGGAGAUCACUCUUACUUUGCUCAAUACAUCAAACACGAGAUAUCACCAAUACUUUUCAAAAUGGCUUCUUUCUCCAGAGCACCUGCUACACAGCAUCGUAUGAUAAGCAUUUACAGAUCGCCGAAAUAACAACUCGUUGAUUUAUCUGCAACAUCAGCCUCGUGAGAAAGUAAUGCGGCCAUUCUGACUGGAUAUGGAGACACGAAAUCUCGCAUGAAAGGAAAGUUAGCUUGGCAACACCAAAUGGACUUAUACCGAUAAUCUUCGUUCCUCAAAUUGUUGACACGUGGUGAUGAAUCUACGAAGUUGCAUUCCUGUCCGUGGAUCGACAUUCAGUAUUGUUGGUCCUCUUGUGACUUUUCUGUGUUCGUACAUGGAUGUAAGAAAACGGGCUUUUAAAGAACUUUAAGAUAGGUUGAACUGACUUCCUUUUACAGCUUGAAAGAUGCGCCAACAUCCAAAACCGACAAACCAGGCUCGCGCGGGAGCGCCAUCAGAGGGACCUGGUGAAUGUCUCCAUCUAGAUAUCUAUAUGACUUCAGCCAAAUACAUUCGGUCGUUACAUGUAUUUCAAAAGACAGGCCAGUCAGAAAAUAAUUGUUUAUUCACACAAAGAGGUGUAAGAUUCCGUUUUCAAAGUCUGAAAUAAAAUGUUUGUUUCCUAA